rnacentral:rRNA from 1 species
CAUUUGACCUCAAAUCA